rnacentral:rRNA from 1 species
UACGUAGGGCGCAAGCGUUGUCCGGAAUUAUUGGGCGUAAAGAGCUCGUAGGCGGUCUGUCGCGUCCGUUGUGAAAACUCGAGGCUCAACCUCGGGCUUGCAGUGGAUACGGGCAGACUAGAGUGCGGUAGGGGAGACUGGAAUUCCUGGUGUAGCGGUGGAAUGCGCAGAGUAUCAGGAGGAACACCGAUGGCGAAGGCAGGUCUCUGGGCCGCAACUGACGCUGAGGAGCGAAAGCAUGGGGAGCGAACAG